rnacentral:rRNA from 1 species
GGGGGAUAUUGCACAAUGGGGGAAACCCUGAUGCAGCGACGCCGCGUGGAGGAAGAAGGUUUUCGGAUUGUAAACUCCUGUCGUUAGGGACGAUAAUGACGGUACCUAACAAGAAAGCACCGGCUAACUACGUGCCAGCAGCCGCGGUAAAACGUAGGGUGCAAGCGUUGUCCGGAAUUACUGGGUGUAAAGGGAGCGCAGGCGGACCGGCAAGUUGGGAGUGAAAACCAUGGGCUCAACCCAUGAAUUGCUUUCAAAACUGCUGGCCUUGAGUAGUGCAGAGGUAGGUGGAAUUCCCGGUGUAGCGGUGGAAUGCGUAGAUAUCGGGAGGAACACCAGUGGCGAAGGCGACCUACUGGGCACCAACUGACGCUGAGGCUCGAAAGCAUGGGUAGCAAACAGGAUUAGAUACCCUGGUAGUCCAUGCCGUAAACGAUGAUUACUAGGUGUUGGAGGAUUGACCCCUUCAGUGCCGCAGUUAACACAAUAAGUAAUCCACCUGGGGAGUACGACCGCAAGGUUGAAACUCAAAGGAAUUGACGGGGGCCCGCACAAGCAGUGGAGUAUGUGGUUUAAUUCGAAGCAACGCGAAGAACCUUACCAGGUCUUGACAUCCGAUGCAUUGUGCAGAGAUGCAUGAAGUCCUUCGGGACAUCGAGACAGGUGGUGCAUGGUUGUCGUCAGCUCGUGUCGUGAGAUGUUGGGUUAAGUCCCGCAACGAGCGCAACCCUUAUUGCCAGUUACUACGCAAGAGGACUCUGGCGAGACUGCCGUUGACAAAACGGAGGAAGGUGGGGAUGACGUCAAAUCAUCAUGCCCUUUAUGACCUGGGCUACACACGUACUACAAUGGCGUUUAACAAAGAGAAGCAAGACCGCGAGGUGGAGCAAAACUCAGAAACAACGUCUCAGUUCAGAUUGCAGGCUGCAACUCGCCUGCAUGAAGUCGGAAUUGCUAGUAAUCGCGGAUCAGCAUGCCGCGGUGAAUACGUUCCCG